rnacentral:rRNA from 1 species
AACCAAGAAAUUAAGUCAUUUUGAUUAUGGUUAAAAGGCAGUUAGGUGGGAAUAAAAGUAGGUUGUUUAAUGUUAUAUAUAGAAGUAAAAUUUAGAUAUAGAUGCAUGAUUUGGUAACAACUUUUUUGAAGCUGAAUCUGCGAAACUCUUGAGGGAAACUGGGAUUAGGUACCCCAUUAUUCUUGAAAGUAAAUUGUAUGAACUACCAGAGUACUAUGAAUGAUUAAUUUAAAACUCAAAGGACUUGGCGGUGUCUUAGACCACUUAGGGGAACCUGUCUCGUAAUCGACAGUCCACGUUAUACCUGACCUCUUUUUGUUAUCAGUUUGUAUACCGUUGUCGUCAGGUAACUUUUUAGAAUAAAGAAGUUAGCAAUAUAAAUAAAUUAUUUAGUACGUCAAAUCAAGGUGCAGCUAAUAAAGAGGGGAGGAUGGGUUACAAUUAUUUAAUUUAUAACUACGGAAGUAUACAUAGAAAUAUGUUGUAGAAGGAGGACUUAAAAGUAAAUUGAAUUAUAUAGAUAAUUUGAAUAAGGCUCUGAGACGUGU